rnacentral:rRNA from 1 species
GAGUUUGAUCAUGGCUCAGAUUGAACGCUGGCGGCAUGCCUUACACAUGCAAGUCGAACGGCAGCACGGGAGCUUGCUCCUGGUGGCGAGUGGCGAACGGGUGAGUAAUGCAUCGGAACGUAUCCUGGAGUGGGGGAUAACGUAGCGAAAGUUACGCUAAUACCGCAUAUUCUGCGAGCAGGAAAGCGGGGGACCUUCGGGCCUCGCGCUCUUGGAGCGGCCGAUGUCGGAUUAGCUAGUUGGUGAGGUAAAGGCUCACCAAGGCGACGAUCCGUAGCAGGUCUGAGAGGAUGAUCUGCCACACUGGAACUGAGACACGGUCCAGACUCCUACGGGAGGCAGCAGUGGGGAAUUUUGGACAAUGGGGGCAACCCUGAUCCAGCCAUGCCGCGUGAGUGAAGAAGGCCUCGG